AUGGCCAAGAAGGCUGGUGCGGAGAGGGACGCGGCGGCGGAGAGCUGUGCCAGAAAGAAGGCUAAGGUCGAGUCCGAGGCCAGGGCUGCUGCGUCGAAGAUCACCGUCAACUUAGACCACAAGUUGCUGGAGUGCUCCGCUUGCUGCAGCCCAUUGGCUCCACCCCUGUUCCAGUGCACAAAUGGCCACAUCACAUGCUCAGAGUGCCGCACCAAUGCAGAGUACAGUUGCAGCUUGUGUGCCGAGCCCGCCAACACCCGCUGCGACAUCAUGGAGCGCGUACUUGGCGGCAUGACCGCGCCGUGCUCGUUCCGGGAGUUCGGCUGCUCCGCGACGAUCCCGUUCACGAAGAAGCUGACCCAUGAAGAGUCCUGCCUCCAUGCCCCGUGCCACUGCCCUAUCCCCUAUUGCCGCCUCUACGCCAACCGUGGCCAGUCCCUGAGCGAGCACAUCGAGACGAAACACUGCUUGGUCCCAUACGGCAACGCCACAGCCGGCAGCCUUUCCCCCGUGAGGGUGUCUGACGAUGAGCCGGUGCGCCUGGUGUUCCUGGACGCCAGGGCGGUGUUCCUGCUGGUGGUCGAGCGGAGUGGGCCAUCGGGGCGUGCCGUGUCGGUGGUCAAGCUCGUCAGCGAGCCGGUCAAGGAGGAGAAGGAUUUCAAGUACAAGAUCCAGGUGCAUACGCGAGCAGGCGUCCUCUCUCUGUCCGGCGAGACGCAGAGUGUCGGGCGGCUGAUGAGGCCUUACCAGGCAACCGCGUCGCUGUUUGUCUCGGACGCCGUGUGGUCUCCCCUGGAUUCUCCCGUGUACCUCGAGUUUAAAUGA
rnacentral:rRNA from 1 species